GAACAAGGAACAAAUAGGAGGUAGCUAUGGCAGGAUCAAAGGAAAGCCUGAGACCACUCCAAGACCUCAUGGGGCCUAAUGAGGACUAGGGGAGGAACCCACCACCUGAUAUCCUGAGGAUCAAAUUCUGCGAAAAUGUUUGGUGAAUCAGAAAGUCCCAUGUAAAUGUUACAGUAGAGAUCCUGGUUAGGUUGUACCUCUCUCUUGGAGACAGAAGACCUGGUCACUUAAAAUGUUGCAAUUAGAAAUGUUCAUGUAGCAGAGAAGAAGUAAUGAAGAGCCAAAUGAAAAGCUCUGAUAUGUGAUGUGUAAACUGACUUGAAAUAACAAGUUCAUACAGAAUAAGGAAGAACAGCCAGGAAAAUCCUGGAAAACAACAACACAAAAACCCAAUAAGUGCCUGAAAAAUAUCUUUAGAAAUUGAAUUUUGGAACCUAAGAAUAUGUGUAUUUCCUUUGGGAAGCAGCCAUUUGUCCUAAAAGAUGUGCCAAGUUUUUACAAUGGAAAGGGAGGGAAGGCCAUAUGAAACAGGCAAACUCUUAUCACCAUGUUUUACAUGUGGAGAGAAGAUUUAAAUAAUGCUGCAUGCUAUGAACAAGCAAUACAUUUCAGUAUGUGAAAUUAUUCCUAAUAUCAUAGUCCUUGCUAAAUUUUAAUUUUGAUCUCAAGAACAGUCUUUUUUCCCUGCCAUUCUUUGUCCUGAGCUUCUCCCAUCCAACUUCAAUCCACAUAAAGACUUCUGUAAUUCUUGA